rnacentral:rRNA from 1 species
CCGAAAGGGCAGCUAAUACCGCAUGAGACCUGAGGGUGAAAGCGGGGGAUCGCAAGACCUCGCGCUGGAAGAGCGGCCGAUGUCCGAUUAGCUAGUUGGUGAGGUAAAGGCUCACCAAGGCGACGAUCGGUAGCUGGUCUGAGAGGACGACCAGCCACACUGGGACUGAGACACGGCCCAGACUCCUACGGGAGGCAGCAGUGGGGAAUUUUGGACAAUGGGGGCAACCCUGAUCCAGCCAUGCCGCGUGCAGGAUGAAGGUCUUCGGAUUGUAAACUGCUUUUGUCAGGGACGAAAAGGGAUGCGAUAACACCGUAUUCCGCUGACGGUACCUGAAGAAUAAGCACCGGCUAACUACGUGCCAGCAGCCGCGGUAAUACG